rnacentral:rRNA from 1 species
AGUGAACGCUGGCGGUAGGCCUAACACAUGCCAGUCGAACGGCAGCACCGUACGAGCUUGCUCUUCCGGGUGGCGAGUGGCGGACGGGUCAGGAAUACAUCGUACUCUACUUUUUCGUGGGGGAUAACGUAGGGAAACUUACGCUAAUACCGCAUCCGACCUACCGGUGAAAGCAGGGGAACUUCUCACCUUGCGCGAUUGAAUGCGCCGAUGUCGGAUUAGCUAGUUGGCGGGGUGAAGGCCCACCAAGGCGAGGAUCCGUAGCUGGUCUGAGAGGCUGGUAGGCCGCACUGGAACUGGGACACGGUCCAGACGCCUGCGGGAGGCAGCAGUGGGGAAUGUUGGACAAUGGGCGCAAGCCUGACCCAGCCAGACGGCGUGUGUGAAGGAGACCCUCGGGUUGUAAAGCCGGUUUGUUGGGAAAAAAAAGCAGCAGGUUGAUACGACGCGGGUCUGACGGUACCCAAAGAAUAAGCACCGGCUAACUUCGUG